CUGUUUGUUUUUUAUACAAACCAGGCACUUCACACCCGGCCACGGGCAUCGAGCAAUAAAAAAAAGCGCAACUCUUGCCUUGCCUCCGUUUACUUACUAAAAGUAAUAGGUAGUAUGUAUGCCGGCUAAUUUCCCGCAGUUGGGGAA
rnacentral:sRNA from 1 species